UGGCAGAUACAAGGAUUUUGAGAUGAGC
rnacentral:piRNA from 1 species